rnacentral:lncRNA from 1 species
AGCAUAAAAAUAGUUUAAAGAUUGUAGUUGUAGUCUAAAAGCUUUAUUUAUUAAUCAUAAUACGACAUAAUUUCAACUCCAAGUCACAACACAAUAACGAUAAGACUUGUAAUUUGGUACCUAAUUCAUCAUUAUUGAUAUAAAGUAUUGCUGAGUGCACAAAUUCUGGAAUCAUAUGUCUUGGAGCUCUUUUAGCAAUUUACUUUCAUUACAGAACAUUGUCAUAGCCGAUUGAAUCAAGAAAAUUCAUUUUAUCCACUGGAAACAGACAAGGUGGUAUCAUAAAGGAACAUUACAAACACUCUGGAUGCUAUGUGUUACAGAGCAUUGGUUGUUUCAAUCCUCUCACUUCAGUAAAUAGCAGUAUGGAAAGUCCUAAAGCAAGCU